rnacentral:rRNA from 1 species
CAAUGGGCGCAAGCCUGAUCCAUCCAUGCCGCGUGNGUGAUGAAGGCCUUAGGGUUGUAAAGCUCUUUCGCCAGGGAUGAUAAUGACAGUAUCUGNUAAAGAAACCCCGGCUAACUCCGUGCCAGCAGCCGCGGUAAUACUGAGGGGGUUAGCGUUGUUCGUAAUUACUGGGCGUAAAGCGCACGUAAGCGGAUA